GCAAAAUUUGAGAAUUUUAGCGAGCAAUGUUUUUGAAAUAUUUGUUACUGCACUUCAAAUUUUGAAUAUCGGAGCAAAAUUUUCUGCCUAUGUUAAAGAUAUACAGAUAUAUAGAGUUGUAGUGAAGGUGAAUGGCACCGAAAAGAAAGCGAGAAGUCCCAAAGAAGGUUGGCAGGCAGAGUCAAAUGAAUUAAACUGCACAUUUUGCCCUAUUACGGUAUUAAAUACAUCCAUGUCGAUUGAUGAGCAAGAAAAUAAAUUGAACGAUUAUAUAGAAGAUUUUCUACUCAAAGUAAAGAACAGGAGUGAAAGAAUAUUAAAAUGCAUUCAAAAAGCCAAAGCACAGACUGCAAAUGCUUAUAAGAGUCCAAGCAUUGAAGUUGUUAAGAAUGUACGCCAAAUGAAAUUUAAAGAAUUUCUAAACAACGCAGGAAAUGUUAAUUGAGCCCUUACUACGCAGGUGCAUACGUAGGUGACAGCGUACAUAACAGAGCUUCAAGCAUCAGGAUCAGUGACUGACAACAUGUCUGUUAAGUCAAGUUUAGGAUGAACUGUUAUAAUUUGUGUUUGUCAACAACCAUAUGUGAUGUUUUGUCUUCAAGAGUGGCGGACGCUGAAGGAGGGAGAAAGUCACUAUCUUACAUGCCAUUGCCAAAUCUCUCUUGUAAAAUCAAUAGCUCAGAUUUUGAAAUAUGGCCAACAAAACUUCUACUACAAUCUGUGUCGUUAUUUCGCUAUGAAACUUUACAAAAACUUCGCUCGUGAAUUGUUCGUGUUAAAAGUAUGAGAGCUCCAAAACCUGGGGAGAGAGUGAUACCCAUGAUUGGAUCACCGCUGACCAUUGAUGUUGCGCCCUCGGAUAACAAUGCUCUGAAGGGCAUCAUACUAUUAACAGGUGGUAAGAUACGAUGAUCAUGCUUAUAUAACACAAGGAAACAUGUUUCAAGACACAAGGAAAACAUAUUAAACAAAGAUUGUUGCAUCCAAUUUUGCAAAUUAAAAG